rnacentral:rRNA from 1 species
GAUGAACGCUGGCGGCGUGCUUAACACAUGCAAGUCGAACGAAGCACUUUUAAUUCUUCGGAAGAGGAAGUGACUGAGUGGCGGACGGGUGAGUAACGCGUGGGUAACCUGCCUUAUACAGGGGGAUAACAGUUAGAAAUGACUGCUAAUACCGCAUAAGCCGAUAGAGUCGCAUGACUUAGUCGGAAAAGAUUUAUCGGUAUAAGAUGGACCCGCGUCUGAUUAGCUAGUUGGUGAGGUAAUGGCCCACCAAGGCGACGAUCAGUAGCCGGCUUGAGAGAGUGAACGGCCACAUUGGGACUGAGACACGGCCCAAACUCCUACGGGAGGCAGCAGUGGGGAAUAUUGCACAAUGGGGGAAACCCUGAUGCAGCAACGCCGCGUGAAGGAAGAAGUAUUUCGGUAUGUAAACUUCUAUCAGCAGGGAAGAAAAUGACGGUACCUGACUAAGAAGCCCCGGCUAACUACGUGCCAGCAGCCGCCGUAACAC